AAUAAACAAAUUUCUGAGUUUUUGGAUAGAAUUUUUGACUCUUCGUCUUAUUUGAAUUUUUUUAUGAUUAUUAUUUUUAUUGUUACUGCAUGAUAAAAUAUGAAUAAUACUUUACGUACGAUUAAUUUUUUUUUAAUUUUUUAAUAAAUUUUUUAAAUAAGACGGAUGAUCAAACGCUCGAAGUAGAAAACC
rnacentral:pre_miRNA from 1 species